GAUGAACGCUGGCGGCGUGCUCAACACAUGCAAGUCGAACGGUGAAGCAGGAGCUUGCUCUUGUGGAUCAGUGGCGAACGGGUGAGUAACACGUGAGCAACCUGCCCCUGACUCUGGGAUAAGCGCUGGAAACGGCGUCUAAUACUGGAUAUGUGAUGUGACCGCAUGGUCUGCAUCUGGAAAGAAUUUCGGUUGGGGAUGGUCUCGCGGCCUAUCAGCUUGUUGGUGAGGUAAUGGCUCACCAAGGCGUCGACGGGUAGCCGGCCUGAGAGGGUGACCGGCCACACUGGGACUGAGACACGGCCCAGACUCCUACGGGAGGCAGCAGUGGGGAAUAUUGCACAAUGGGCGGAAGCCUGAUGCAGCAACGCCGCGUGAGGGAUGACGGCCUUCGGGUUGUAAACCUCUUUUAGCAGGGAAGAAGCGAAAGUGACGGUACCUGCAGAAAAAGCACCGGCUAACUACGUGCCAGCAGCCGCCGUAA
rnacentral:rRNA from 1 species